rnacentral:misc_RNA from 1 species
GGACUACAGUCGGCUCCGCCGGGGCCACACGCCCAGUCGAUCGCUCCCUGCAGGGCCUGGUCGUCGGCGUUGUUCUUAGCGACACACCAGAGAUCCCUUGGCGCAAUACCGUUUUGGCCCCUUAAAGAGCGAGGAAGCGAGAAGGCUACUAGAAGGAACACCAAAAGCAGAGACCCAGACAUGUUAUAAUCAAGAAAAAGAAACUGGUAAUAACUAAGAUUUCGGUCUCUUUAUAACGAAUGAGAAAAGAAAGAAACGGCUCUAAGGUGGG